GUGCCAGCCGCGGCGGUAACACGUAGGGGGCGAGCGUUAUCCGGAUUCAUUGGGCGUAAAGCGCGCGUAGGCGGCCCGCCAAGCAGAACCUCUAACCCCGGGGCCCAACCCCGGGCCGGGUUCUGGACUGGCGGGCUCGAGUCCGGUAGAGGAAGGCGGAAUUCCCGGUGUAGCGGUGAAAUGCGCAGAUAUCGGGAAGAACACCGAUGGCGAAGGCAGCCUUCUGGGCCGCGACUGACGCUGAGGCGCGAAAGCUGGGGGAGCGAACAGGGAUUAGAUACCCUGGUAGUCCCAGCCGUAAACGAUGGACGCUAGGUGUGGGGGAUGACCCUCCGUGCCGAAGCCAACGCAUUAAGCGUCCCGCCUGGGGAGUACGGCCGCAAGGCUAAAACUCAAAGGAAUUGACGGGGCCCGCACAAGCAGCGGAGCAUGUGGCUUAAUUCGAAGCAACGCGAAGAACCUUACCAGGGCUUGACAUGCGCAUGAAGCCGGGAGACCCGGUGGCCGAGAGGAGUGCGCGCAGGUGGUGCAGUGGCUGUCGUCAG
rnacentral:rRNA from 1 species